rnacentral:lncRNA from 1 species
GAAUGGCAGCAGCCACCUCUUCAUUCACGGAUAACUGGCCUCUGUUUCUGACAGGACCAGUUUAUCCUACUGUCUUCUUUUUUCUUUCUUUCUUGAUUUCUUUCUUUUAUAAUUUUAAAUAUUCAUCCAAACCCUGAGAACUAGCCCUUGCGUCUGGCUGGGCAGUUCUUGUCCCUGGUAGCGUCUGGCGCCGGGACUUUUCUUUCUUUCUUUCUGGAUGAAUACAAGUUUGAAUGGUAAUAUUUUCCCUGAGAACUAGCCUUUGCGUCUGGCUGGGCAGUUCUUGUCCCAGGUUGCGUCUGGCACUGGGGCCCUGCGUUUACAGUUUAGCAUGGCGGUUGGAUGGACUUUUCUUUCACCCUGGAGGCUGAGUUCAGCGCCUGGCAGGGCCGUCGACCCCGCCAUGCAAGUUGCCCUAGCGUCUGGCAGGGUAACUAUCUUGUUUAUUACUGUGUUUUCCUCCACAGCGAUAGGUCAGUUCAGUCACAGUGGCACCAGGGACACAUGUCAUCUCCCACGGAAGCUCCUCAGUGGCAGAGCAGGAUGGACUGCAGUGCCACGUGUUUUGGAGCGGACACAUGGCUGUGUGCUGUUCUAGUCAUGCUCCACACCACAGGGAGCAGUGCCACUGAUACUGAUGUACUGACCAGUGUGUCUGUCAGUCCAGUGGACAAAGUUUUCUAAGGAGAAGGGGAUGAGGGCACCAGGAGAUGAGGAGAAGGAGAUUAAGUUAAAACAAAAAGCGCACGGUAAGCAAAUAAAGAGGUUUAGUCGGGAUAAGUUUUCA